rnacentral:lncRNA from 1 species
UGAUAUGAUUGAAAAAAUCUUUAUUGACGAAGGAAAGGAGUUUCUUGUUGGAACAGGUCUGGGAUCCGAAGAGAAGGAAAAAUUGGCGAAGUGUCUAGCCGAAAAUUUGGAUGUCUUCGCUUGGAACCCAAAGGAUAUCCCGGGGAUUAGCUCAACUGUCGCGCAGCACUGCCUCGGUGUCCAGCCAGGGGCUAAGCCAGUGAAGCAGAAAAAGAGAAACCUUGCCCCUGAAAGGCAGGCUGCGGCCAGAGCAGAGGUGGAAAAAUUGCUACAGGCGGGUUUUAUCCGAGAGGUGCAAUACCCCGAGUGGUUAGCAAAUGUUGUACUUGUGAAGAAGUCAAAUGGAAAAUGGCGCAUGUGUGUAGACUAUACUGGGUUGAACAAGGUAUGCCCAAAAGACUCAUACCCACUUCCCAGAAUAGAUCAACUGGUGGACGCAACGUCGGGUCAUGAAAGGCUCAGCUUUCUAGAUGCGUUUUCGGGGUAUCAUCAAAUUUCAAUGGCCGAGGCCGAUCAAGAGAAGACGUCAUUUAUCACGGAUUUCGGCACGUACUGUUACACAGCCAUGCCAUUUGGCUUGAAAAAUGCAGGAGCGACGUAUCAGAGGAUGGUGAACAAAUUCUUUCGUGGGCUAAUCGGGGAUGUCGUAGAAGUCUAUGUUGACGAUAUGGUGGUCAAGAGUGCCAGAGCCAAUGACCAUGUGGCAUGUUUGCAAAAAGUGUUUGACG